rnacentral:rRNA from 1 species
GACGGAGGAUGCAAGCGUUAUCCGGAAUGAUUGGGCGUAAAGCGUCCGCAGGUGGCAGUUCAAGUCUGCUGUCAAAGACCGGGGCUUAACUUCGGAAAGGCAGUGGAAACUGAACAGCUAGAGUAUGAUAGGGGUAGAGGGAAUUUCCAGUGGAGCGGUGAAAUGCGUAGAUAUUGGAAAGACCACCAAUGGCGAAGGCACUCUACUGGGCCAUUACUGACACUGAGAGACGAAAGCUAGGGGAGCAAAUGGG